rnacentral:rRNA from 1 species
GUGGGGAAUCUUCCGCAAUGGACGAAAGUCUGACGGAGCUACGCCGCGUGAGUGAUGAAGGUCUUCGGAUUGUAAAGCUCUGUUAAUCGGGACGAAAGAGCCUAGUGUGAAUAAUGCUAGGAAGUGACGGUACCGGAAUAGAAAGCCACGGCUAACUACGUGCAAGCAGCCGCGGUAAUACGUAGGUGGCAAGCGUUGUCCGGAAUGAUUGGGCGUAAAGCGCGCGCAGGCGGAUCUGCCAGUCUGUCUUAAAAGUUCGGGGCUUAACCCCGUGAUGGGAUGGAAACUACAGAUCUAGAGGAUCGGAGAGGAAAGUGGAAUUCCUAGUGUAGCGGUGAAAUGCGUAGAUAUUAGGAAGAACACCAGUGGCGAAGGCGACUUUCUGGACGAAAACUGACGCUGAGGCGCGAAAGCCAGGGGAGCGAACGGGAUUAGAAACCCGUGUAGUCC